rnacentral:rRNA from 1 species
UACCAGCUCUCCGAGUUGUAGGGAUGAUUAUUGGGCUUAAAGCGUCCGUAGCCGGCUUGGCAAGUCUCCUGUUAAAUUCAGCGACCUAAUCGUUGAGCCGCGGGAGAUACUACUAGGCUAGGAGGCGGGAGAGGUCGACGGUACUUUCGGGGUAGGGGUGAAAUCCUAUAAUCCCGGGAGGACCACCAGUGGCGAAGGCUGUCGACUAGAACGCGCUCGACGGUGAGGGACGAAAGCUGGGGGAGCGAACCGGAUUAGAUACCCGGGUAGUCCCAGCUGUAAACGAUGCGGGCUAGGUGUUGGGGUGGCUACGGGCCACUUCAGUGCCGCAGGGAAGCCAUUAAGCCCGCCGCCUGGGGAGUACGGCCGCAAGGCUGAAACUUAAAGGAAUUUGGCGGGGGAGCCACCACGGAGGGCGUGAAGCUUAGGCGGUUC